rnacentral:rRNA from 1 species
AUUGAACGCUGGCGGAAUGCUUUACACAUGCAAGUCGAACGGCAGCACGGGGCAACCUGGUGGCGAGUGGCGAACGGGUGAGUAAUAUAUCGGAACGUGCCCAAUCGUGGGGGAUAACGUAGCGAAAGUUACGCUAAUACCGCAUACGAUCUACGGAUGAAAGCGGGGGAUCGCAAGACCUCGCGCGAAUGGAGCGGCCGAUAUCAGAUUAGGUAGUUGGUGGGGUAAAGGCUCACCAAGCCAACGAUCUGUAGCUGGUCUGAGAGGACGACCAGCCACACUGGAACCGAGACACGGUCCAGACUCCUACGGGAGGCAGCAGUGGGGAAUUUUGGACAAUGGGCGCAAGCCUGAUCCAGCCAUUCCGCGUGCAGGAUGAAGGCCUUCGGGUUGUAAACUGCUUUUGUACGGAACGAAACGGUACUGCCCUAAUACGCGGGCUAAUGACGGUACCGUAAGAAUAAGCACGGCUAACUAACGUGCCAGCAGCCGCGGUAACUACGU